rnacentral:ncRNA from 1 species
GAGGACCGUAUGAGAUGAAAACCUCACGUACGGUUCUGGAACGGAGAUUCUUUGAAUCGAAUAACGACCGUAAC